GGCGGACGGGUGAGUAAUGCCUAGGAAUCUGCCUGAUAGUGGGGGACAACGUUUCGAAAGGAACGCUAAUACCGCAUACGUCCUACGGGAGAAAGCAGGGGACCUUCGGGCCUUGCGCUAUCAGAUGAGCCUAGGUCGGAUUAGCUAGUUGGUGAGGUAACGGCUCACCAAGGCGACGAUCCGUAACUGGUCUGAGAGGAUGAUCAGUCACACUGGAACUGAGACACGGUCCAGACUCCUACGGGAGGCAGCAGUGGGGAAUAUUGGACAAUGGGCGAAAGCCUGAUCCAGCCAUGCCGCGUGUGUGAAGAAGGUCUUCGGAUUGUAAAGCACUUUAAGUUGGGAGGAAGGGCAUUAACCUAAUACGUUAGUGAUUGGACGUUACCGACAGAAUAAGCACCGGCUAACUUCGUGCCAGCAGCCGCGGUAAUACGAAGGGUGCAAGCGUUAAUCGGAAUUACUGGGCGUAAAGCGCGCGUAGGUGGUUAGUUAAGUUGAAUGUGAAAGCCCCGGGCUCAACCUGGGAACUGCAUCCAAAACUGGCAAGCUAGAGUAUGGCAGAGGGUGGUGGAAUUUCCUGUGUAGCGGUGCAAUGCGUAGAUAUAGGAAGGAACACCAGUGGCGAAGGCGACCACCUGGGCUAAUACUGACACUGAGGUGCGAAAGCGUGGGGAGCAAACAGGAUUAGAUAGCCUGGUAGUCCACGCCGUAAACGAUGUC
rnacentral:rRNA from 1 species